rnacentral:lncRNA from 1 species
GGGGGUGCGGGCGCCCUGGGUCUUCGUGCGGCCCCGGGGGUGCGGGCGCCCUGGGUCUUCGUGCGGGCCGGGGGGCGCGGGCCCCGGGAGGGGCUGCGGGUCCGGGAGGGAGAGCCCCACGCGCUGCCGCGGCCUCCGAGUCCCCGCCCCGCCACCGAGCGGGCCGAGGCCGGCCGGCCCCGAGCUGCUGCCUUGAGGGAGUUUCUGCGGGCGGCCGGCGGGACCACGGGGGCCGCAGACACAGACAUCAGCCGGCUGCCUCUUCGCCGACUGGGGACCUGGCCGGGUUUACCCGGGAGCGAAGCCAUGAUCUCAGCGCCCGGAUCCUGAGCGAGCCCCUCAAGCACGCCGACUUCUUUAACGUCAAGGAGCUGUUUUCCGUGCGAAGUCUCUUCAACGCCCGCGUGCACCUGGGCCACAAGGCCGGCUGUCGGCACAGCCUCCCGUGGGGCUCAUGGUCCUCGCAGGGGCAGGCCGGCUGGUCUUGUAGGUCCUGUAAGCCGGCGAUGGGACGGGGGCUGGCAAGGCCACCCCCUUGGAGGGACAUCCCAGUGGCAGGCUGAGGAGCGGUGACUGGCCGUCCUUUCAGGAUGGCUAUUGUAGGGCCUGGUUGAGAGUGGACUGGGGGGCGGAGGGGUGGGGGCGGUGGCUGCUUGGGCAGAGCCGCAGCAGUGGCUGGGCCUGGGGGGAAGGGGGGGAGCCGAGCAGAGCGGGGGUCUGCGUUCUUCACAUUGGAAACUUAGGUCCCGAACGGGUGACGCUUUGGCCACCCCAGGACAGUGUCACACAGGUGCCCUCGGAGGAAGCAGCCUGGGCCAGGGGCGCCACACCAGGGCCUUCAGAGGGCAUGUGAGGCAGAAGGGCGGGGGCGGCCCUGCGCAGGAGCC